rnacentral:rRNA from 1 species
CAGCCGUAAACAAUGUGCGUUAGGUGUGUCGGUAACCACGCGUUACUGAUGCGCCGAAGAGAAAUCGUGAAACGCACCACCUGGGAAGUACGGUCGCAAGGCUGAAACUUAAAGGAAUUGGCGGGGGAGCACCACAACAGGUGGAGCCUGCGGUUUAAUUGGAUUCAACGCCGGACAUCUCACCGGAUAAGACAGCUGAAUGAUUGUCAAUCUGAAGGUUUUGCAUGACUAGCUGAGAGGUGGUGCAUGGCGUCAGUGACU